rnacentral:rRNA from 1 species
UACGUAGGGUGCAAGCGUUGUCCGGAAUCAUUGGGCGUAAAGCGCGUGUAGGCGGUUCGAUAAGUCUGCUGUGAAAGUCCAGGGCUCAACCCUGGAAAGCCGGUGGAUACUGUCGGACUAGAGUGCGGAAGAGGCGAGUGGAAUUCCCGGUGUAGCGGUGAAAUGCGCAGAUAUCGGGAGGAACACCAAUGGCGAAGGCAGCUCGCUGGGACGGUACUGACGCUGAGACGCGAAAGCGUGGGGAGCAAACAGG